rnacentral:tRNA from 2 species
GGCCCGUAGCUCAGUAGGUAGAGCGACCCCCAAGCCGGGGGAGGGAAGGGGUUCAACUCCCCUCGGGCCGCCA